CUCAGCGAAAACAGGCUGCCCACGUAGGACGCCCCGCCGAACGAUACACACACACCACCCAGGAUGAAGAAGGCUGGGGGUGGGGAGAGAGAGAGAGGAGGAUGACCAAAAUAGAAUAUAGAGCCACACCCCUGGCCCUCCUAGUCUCCUUACCAUAUCCUGCCUCUCGUCCCACAUCACUCUGGACGAAAGCGAUGACCCCGAUCCCGGUGGCCAGGAGUCCGUUCCGGAACCAAGACAGGAACCCUAGAACAGAACAUCACGGAGCUUACAGCCCAGUCUGAAAACAACCCCUCACCUCUUUCUCUAACCCUACCAGUGUUUGCAGUCAGGAGCUUUUCCCAUAUUGCUCACGUUUCUGGAUUCAGAUGUGUAGCCUACAGAUGCAUGCAUAUUGUGUUUAUCUUCUUUCGCUACAAUAACUGGUCUAACUGUGCCAACAGGAAUUCUACCAAAAUGCAUAGCAAAGUAAUUCAAUAAAUAGCCUAGGUCUUUGAACCUCUUCCUAAUCUAAAUGUGCAGUUACCAGUUUCGUGGGACUUUUUCAGCAUCUGCAGAGCAAAACAAAAAUAGCAGUGAUUUAGAAAGGUGGUUCAUGUCCGCACACAGAUCCUUUCUGUAACGCUGGAGUACAUUCAAGUCAUUUGGAAAAGCAACAAGGCGAAUCAAGUCGCACAUCAUUUUCUGGAAUGGCAAGACUUUACCGUCCCUUUGAACUUACCAAGGCAUCCGCCUUAUCGAGUUCUGUCAGAAGAUGAUACUCUGGCAUCCGAGCCUUGCCCCAUGGCCCCUUCUCAGCCACCCAUUUCCGCGACGACCCGUGGACUCUCCUCACCGGCAGUCCCCCGAGGUACUGAGGCCUGACGUGCUUCACAACCCAGGCGAACUGAUUUGCAAUCCGCGGCAGC